AUGAGGACAGAGCCAAAGCAUUGGGCUAGGGCUUUUUUCCCACCUGGAGCAAACUGUGAAUCAGUUGACAAUAAUCUUUGUGAGUCAUUUAACAAUGCCAUCAUAGAAUCUAGGUUCUAUCCAAUUAUUACACAAGAAGAAAUGAUAAGGAAAAAGAUGCUUGUUAGAGUGCAAGAGCAGAGAGCCAAAGGGGUAAAGUGGAAGGGAAAAAUUUGUCCAAGUAUUUUGAAGAAACUACAAGUCAGUAUUAAAAUGACACAGUACAUUGAGGUGCUCUAG
rnacentral:rRNA from 1 species